rnacentral:ncRNA from 1 species
UAGUGCCGUAUGAGAUGAAAAUCUCAUGUACGGUUCUGCAAUAGGGAUGAGAACACCAUCAUCUGGUACGAACAUCUUGUGUAAUAUUUUUAUUUCCGUUUGUACCUUUGU